UUCUCCUACGGGGCGCAGCAGUGGGGAAUAUUGCGCAAUGGGCGAAAGCCUGACGCAGCGACGCCGCGUGAGGGAUGAAGGUCUUCGGAUCGUAAACCUCUGUCAGCAGGGAAGAACGGUCACUGUGCUAAUCAGCAGUGAAUUGACGGUACCUGCAAAGGAAGCACCGGCUAACUCCGUGCCAGCAGCUGCGGUAAUACGGAGGAUGCGAGCGUUAUCCGGAUUUAUUGGGUUUAAAGGGUGCGUAGGCGGAAUGCCAAGUCAGCGGUAAAAUCGCGGGGCUCAACCUCGCUCCGCCGUUGAAA
rnacentral:rRNA from 1 species